rnacentral:rRNA from 1 species
AUAAAGUCGGGUAUGGAUACCCGUUUGCAUGUACUUUAUGAAUAAGGAUCGGCUAACUCCGUGCCAGCAGCCGCGGUAAUACGGAGGAUCCGAGCGUUAUCCGGAUUUAUUGGGUUUAAAGGGAGCGUAGAUGGAUGUUUAAGUCAGUUGUGAAAGUUUGCGGCUCAACCGUAAAAUUGCAGUUGAUACUGGAUAUCUUGAGUGCAGUUGAGGCAGGCGGAAUUCGUGGUGUAGCGGUGAAAUGCUUAGAUAUCACGAAGAACUCCGAUUGCGAAGGCAGCCUGCUAAGCUGCAACUGACAUUGAGGCUCGAAAGUGUGGGUAUCAAACAGGAUUAGAUACCCUGGUAGUCCACACGGUAAACGAUGAAUACUCGCUGUUUGCGAUAUACUGCAAGCGGCCAAGCGAAAGCGUUAAGUAUUCCACCUGGGGAGUACGCCGGCAACGGUGAAACUCAAAGGAAUUGACGGGGGCCCGCACAAGCGGAGGAACAUGUGGUUUAAUUCGAUGAUACGCGAGGAACCUUACCCGGGCUUAAAUUGCAGAUGAAUUACGGUGAAAGCCGUAAGCCGCAAGGCAUCUGUGAAGGUGCUGCAUGGUUGUCGUCAGCUCGUGCCGUGAGGUGUCGGCUUAAGUGCCAUAACGAGCGCAACCCUUGUUGUCAGUUACUAACAGGUUCCGCUGAGGACUCUGACAAGACUGCCAUCGUAAGAUGUGAGGAAGGUGGGGAUGACGUCAAAUCAGCACGGCCCUUACGUCCGGGGCUACACACGUGUUACAAUGGGGGGUACAGAGGGCCGCUACCACGCGAGUGGAUGCCAAUCCCCAAAACCUCUCUCAGUUCGGACUGGAGUCUGCAACCCGACUCCACGAAGCUGGAUUCGCUAGUAAUCGCGCAUCAGCCACGGCGCGGUGAAUACGUUCCCGGGCCUUGUACACACCGCCCGUCAAGCCAUGGGAGCCGGGGGUACCUGAAGUGCGUAACCGCGAGGAGCGCCCUAGGGUAAAACUGGUGACUGGGGCUAAGUCGUAACAAGGUAA